rnacentral:rRNA from 1 species
GAUGAACGCUAGCGGCAGGCCUAAUACAUGCAAGUCGAACGGUGUCUUCGGACAUAGUGGCGCACGGGUGCGUAACACGUAUACAACCUACCUUACAUUGGGGGAUAGCCUUUCGAAAGGGAGAUUAAUACCGCAUAAGACAGUAGCUGGGCAUCCAGCAGCUGUUAAAGAUUUAUCGAUGUAAGCUGGGCAUGCGUCCAAUUAGCUAGUUGGUGAGGUAACGGCUCACCAAGGCAAUGAUUGGUAGGGGAACUGAGAGGUCAAUCCCCCACACUGGCACUGAGAUACGGGCCAGACUCCUACGGGAGGCAGCAGUAGGGAAUAUUGGGCAAUGGACGCAAGUCUGACCCAGCCAUGCCGCGUGCAGGAUGAAGGCGUUAUGCGUUGUAAACUGCUUUUAUACAGGAAGAAACGACUCUUGCGAGAGGCAUUGACGGUACUGUGUGAAUAAGCACCGGCUAACUCCGUGCCAGCAGCCGCGGUAAAAC